rnacentral:rRNA from 1 species
AUUGAACGCUGGCGGCAGGCCUAACACAUGCAAGUCGAGCGGAUGAAGGGAGCUUGCUCCUGGAUUCAGCGGCGGACGGGUGAGUAAUGCCUAUGAAUCUGCUUGGUAGUGGGGGAUAACGUCCGGAAACGGGCGCUAAUACCGCAUACUUCCUGAUGGAGCUAGUUGGGGAUCUUCGGACCUCACGCUAUCAUAUGAGCCUAGGUCGGAUUAGCUAGUUGGUGGGGUAAAGGCCUACCAAGGCGACGAUUCGUAACUGGUCUGAGAGGAUGAUUAGUCACACUGGAACUGAGACACGGUCAAGACGCCUAAGGGAGGCAGCAGUGGGGAAUAUUGGGCAAUGGGCGAAAGCAUGAUCCAGCCAUGCCGCGUGUGUGAAGAAGGUCUUCGGAUUGUAAAGCACGUUAAGUUGGGAGGAAGGGCAGUAAGUUAAUACCUUGCUGUUUUGACGUUACCAACAGAAUAAGCACCGGCUAACUUCGUG